UGCCAAUGAUGCAUUUCUAUUCACGUAUUACCAGACUACUUGAUGAUGAUUUGUGAUUGUCACUACCUCUGAGGCA